AACGAACGCUGGCGGCAGGCCUAACACAUGCAAGUCGAACGCAUCGCAAGAUGAGUGGCGCACGGGUGAGCAACACGUGGGAAUGUACCCUUUGGUUCGGAAUAACGUUUCGAAACGAACGCUAAUACCGGAUGAGCCCUACGGGGGAAAGAUUUAUCGCCAAAGGAGCAGCCCGCGUCUGAUUAGGUAGUUGGUGGGGUAAAGGCCUACCAAGCCGACGAUCAGUAGCUGGUCUGAGAGGAUGAUCAGCCACACUGGGACUGAGACACGGCCCAGACUCCUACGGGAGGCAGCAGUGGGGAAUAUUGGACAAUGGGCGCAAGCCUGAUCCAGCCAUGCCGCGUGAGUGAUGAAGGCCUUCGGGUUGUAAAGCUCUUUCGCACACGACGAUGAUGACGGUAGUGUGAGAAGAAGCCCCGGCUAACUUCGUGCCAGCCGCCGCUGUAAGAC
rnacentral:rRNA from 1 species